AUACGGGGGGUGCAAGCGUUAAUCGGAAUUACUGGGCGUAAAGCGCGCGUAGGCGGCUUAUUAAGUCAGAUGUGAAAUCCCCGGGCUCAACCUGGGAACUGCAUCUGAUACUGGUAAGCUAGAGUUUUGGAGAGGGAAGUAGAAUUUCAGGUGUAGCGGUGUAAUGCAUAGAGAUCUGAAGGAAUACCAGUGGCGAAGGCGACUUCCUGGCCAAAAACUGACGCUGAGGUGCGAAAGCGUGGGUAACAAACGGGAUUAGAAACCCUAGUAGUCC
rnacentral:rRNA from 1 species